rnacentral:rRNA from 1 species
AUCGUAGGAGACAAACGUUAUCCGGAGUUACUGGGCGUAAAGGGCGUGCAGGUGGUCUGUUAAGUCUGGCGUGAAAGCUCUCGGCUAAACCGGGAGAGGUCGUUGGAUACUGGCGGACUAGAGGACGGUAGAGGCGUGUGGAAUUCCGGGUGUAGUGGUGAAAUGCGUAGAGAUCCGGAGGAACACCAGUGGCGAAGGCGACACGCUGGGCCGUACCUGACACUAAAACGCGACAGCAUGGGGAGCGAACGGG